UACGAAGGGGGCUAGCGUUGUUCGGAAUCACUGGGCGUAAAGGGCGCGUAGGCGGCCGAUCAAGUCGGGGGUGAAAGCCUGUGGCUCAACCACAGAAUUGCCUUCGAUACUGUUUGGCUUGAGACCGGAAGAGGUUAGUGGAACUGCGAGUGUAGAGGUGAAAUUCGUAGAUAUUCGCAAGAACACCAGUGGCGAAGGCGGCUGACUGGUCCGGUUCUGACGCUGAGGCGGCGAAAGCGU
rnacentral:rRNA from 1 species